UCCCUGGUGGUUUAGUGGUUAGGAUUUGGCACUUUCACUGCCAAGGCCUGGGUUCAAUUCCCAGUCAGGGGAA